rnacentral:rRNA from 1 species
UACGAGUGCCCCAAGCGUUAUCCGGAAUCAUUGGGCGUAAAGGGUGUGUAGGCGGUCUUGUUAGUCUUCUGUCAAAUUCUUCGGCUUAACCGGGGGUCCGCAGAGGAAACGGCAAGACUCGAGGAUGCGAGAGGUGAAUGGAACUCUAGGUGUAGGGGUGAAAUCCGUUGAUAUCUAGGGGAACACCAAAAGCGAAGGCAAUUCACUGGCGCACUCCUGACGCUGAAACACGAAAGCGUGGGUAGCGAAUGGG